GAUGAACGCUGGCGGCGUGCCUAAUACAUGCAAGUCGAGCGAACGGACGAGAAGCUUGCUUCUCUGAUGUUAGCGGCGGACGGGUGAGUAACACGUGGAUAACCUACCUAUAAGACUGGGAUAACUCCGGGAAACCGGAGCUAAUACCGGAUAAUAUUUUGAACCGCAUGGUUCAAAAGUGAAAGACGGUCUUGCUGUCACUUAUAGAUGGAUCCGCGCUGCAUUAGCUAGUUGGUAAGGUAACGGCUUACCAAGGCAACGAUGCAUAGCCGACCUGAGAGGGUGAUCGGCCACACUGGAACUGAGACACGGUCCAGACUCCUACGGGAGGCAGCAGUAGGGAAUCUUCCGCAAUGGGCGAAAGCCUGACGGAGCAACGCCGCGUGAGUGAUGAAGGUCUUCGGAUCGGAAAACUCUGUUAUUAGGGAAGAACAUAUGUGUAAGUAACUGUGCACAUCUUGACGGUACCUAAUCAGAAAGCCACGGCUAACUACGUG
rnacentral:rRNA from 1 species